AUUUUUCAUGUUUUUUUUUAAAUUUAUUAUUUAUUUAAUGGCAACAUAGAUAAGAAAGUCAACAUGUUUAAAACAAAAUAUUAACAAUAAAACAGUUUUAUUGAAAACCAAAAAUUAACUUUUUUCCAGCUAAGUUUUGGGGGCGUCGUGGCUGAGGGGUAAAGCGCUUGGCUUUCAAACCUGGAAUUUUUUAUUUUGAGAUCUUUUAGGCAUCUAUGAUUCCACAUUACGUGGUAUGUGACAUUAGUGAAAAGUAAAUACAGCUGGUCCUUGUGCUGGCCACAUGACCCUCCUCAUAAACCAUGUGCCACAGAAACAGAUGACCUUUAAUCAUCUUCCGUAUAGACCGCAUGGGGAACUAUACUUUUUUGUAACUUGUAGAUAAAAAUAAAUUUUAUAAAACAUUGUUUAGUGGAUACUGGUACAAGAAAAAAAAAGAUUCGGUUGUUAUGUAAUAUUAAAAGUAUCAAUCAGGUCUCAAGAAGAACUAAUUAGUCUCCUAUCAGCAAUGUGUUAUGGAAGCUGUUCAAGGAAAACAAAAUGUUGGAUUCCAUCUGCUUUAAAAGGUUGACACAUUAAAUGAAUUGUUUUCAAUAUGUGCUUAACAGCAGAAGAGCUACAAAAACUUAUUGUAUAGAAAAUACCAUAGACAUAUAUAUAUAGGAAAUCCUGCAGGACCAAAGAAAAAAGGCAGGAUGUUUGGGCCAAAAGGCCUUCAUCAACAAAGACAUUUUUUGUUAACUUAUCUGACUGUAAGUUACUCUACUUAUCUUAUGACUUUUAUGCAUCUGCUAUCUAGCAUAUUGACAGGAGUCCCAUUCUCGCUCGGGGAGGGGGGGUUGGAGGGGGGCACAGUUCAAUUACUGCCACAACUCUCAUUAUUGCAAGGGUUAUCUCCCAUUAGCUUAGUUCAUUUUCCAUAUAAAACUAAAUAAAUUAAUUACAACUAAUUUAUAAACAAAUUUUUUUAAAAUUCAUGGGCUGUCAUCGACAAGGAAUAAUUGUUUCAACUUGAUCUGAGAAAUAAUGUGUACAAGAUUUUGCCCAGACAGACAGACAAACUGAGUGAGUUGAUAUAAGCUUGGUAAUAAAUAGAAACUCACAACUGAAUGAGAUAAUAAAGAUGACAAUAUGAAGUACAAUGUGUCUAAUUUACAAGUUCUAAAGACUCACAUUAUAACAUCAAGUAAAAUGAAUUUAAUAGUUGUAGCUGUAUUCUAUCAAACAUAAAGGUAUGGUCAAUAUGGUAACACUGCUAUCAAUACAUAAACAAGAUGAAACAGAAAGUAGUUUAGAGCAUAAUGCAUGGUCCCCAGACAUAAUGCAUUAAUUCAAACUCUUAACUUUUGAUGUGUUUCAAUUACAUGGUCCCCAAACAUAAUGCAUUGAUUCAGACUCUUAACUUUGAUGUGAUUUAAUAAAAUAACAACAAUGAACUAAAAAAAAAGUUAAAAGACAUUUCAUGGUCAGUGUCACUGAAAUAAAAAAAAUGUUUUGAAUUGAGCUGCAAUAUUUAUGAACUAACUGAUACACUAAAAAUAUUUACACACAAAAAAAUAUGGAUCAAAGCAUGUUUGUGGUUUGAGAAUAGUUUGUGGCUUGAGAAUAUGCUCCUCUUGAAAUAAGAACAUGAUUUUUUUAAAUAUAGAAAAAAGACCACCUAAGAUUUAGUUGUUUGUGCAAAGACAUUAAAUGUAAAUUCUAGUAAAUAUUUAGAUUGAGCUGUAAUUUAUAAGACAAGAUUUUUAAAUAGUUUAUGAUGAACAAUCCACUGAAAAGCAAACUAACUGAUUAUAGAAAAAUGUAAAUGACAAAAUUCUUUCAUUUUGUCCUAAAGAAUAACAGAAUCUAGAGGAUUUAUCUUGAUUCAGGCAGUUUAAUUUAGCCUGUGAAAGUUUUUAGAAAAUAUAUGGACCAGUGUUUGAUGAUACCAGAAGGCAGAUACACAUGAUCAAGGAGCAAUACCAGCUCUAGAACCUUUCUAUAGUGCCACAAUUUUAAAUAAAUUAUGCUAGGAUGGUCAGGUUGGAAGAAUGUCAAAGAAUAAAGAGGUGCCGGUAAUUGGGUAGUACCAUCAAAAAAAAAAAAAAAAAAAA